GCGGAGAUAGUUCAACCGGCAGAACCUCUCUGUGCCAUAGAGAAAAUGUGGGUUCAAUUCCCGCUCUCCGCU
rnacentral:tRNA from 2 species